ACGCUGGCGGCGCGUCUUAAGCAUGCAAGUCGAACGGCAAGAGGUAGCAAUACCUCCUAGAGUGGCGGACUGGUGAGUAACACGUGGGUGACAUACCCUUCAGAUGGGGGAUAGCUAUUAGAAAUAGUAGAUAAUACCGAAUACGAGCACAGGGGUUAGAGAUCUGUGAGGAAAGGAGCUAAGGCUCCGCUGAAGGAAUGGCCUGCGGCCCAUUAGCUAGUUGGUGAGGUAAGAGCCCACCAAGGCGAUGAUGGGUAUCCGGCCUUAGAGGGUGAACGGACACAUUGGGACUGAGAUACGGCCCAGACUCCUACGGGAGGCAGCAGCUAAGAAUAUUCCGCAAUGGACGAAAGUCUGACGGAGCGACGCCGCGUGGAUGAAGAAGGCCGGAAGGUUGUAAAAUCCUUUUGAAACUGAAGAAUAAGCGUUGUAGGGAAUGACAGCGUGGUGACAGUAGGUUUUGAAUAAGCAACGGCUAAUUACGUGCCAGCCGCCGC
rnacentral:rRNA from 1 species